GCAAGGCUCCAUCAUGCAGAUCCCAGGUUGGAACAACACAGAGAAAAUCAGCAUGACCCCUACGCGAGGUAGUGAGGUGCAAAUUCGUGACAUGCUCCGUAAAUUU
rnacentral:snRNA from 1 species